GAAGAGGCGUUUUCCUGCAGUGAAUCUUGUUCCAGCUAAAAGGCCUAAACCACUGGAAGUUGCUUUCCACCUUUCGCCAAAACAAUAUGAAAAAACACCAAAAGAACAAGACCAAAUAUUCCACUUGCAGGCCGGACUAGGCCACAGGUCUGUUCAUCUAGAUGAGAGUACAACACAUGAUGAGGAGGAGGGGGUUCCUGAAAGCUUUCCAUGGUGGCACCUGAUCAUACUGGCUACACAGGCAACAUCAUAAAGGCUGCAAGCCGGGGGGGAAAUCUCCACUCUACCUCCUAUCAAAGACGAACUCAAAACAACUCCUUUGCAACUAAGUAAUGAAGUAUUCAGUUGCAUGCCUAAGGCAAAGUGCCAAAGGUGUGGAGCAGCCAUUCCACUGCAGCUCCUGGUGGAGCAGUUGAAGUCUUGCAACAUCAUGGAUGUUGACAAUAAUGAAGACAACCUGGUUAAUGGGAAGGAUAAGAGUGAGCAGGCCCAAGUUCAGGAGCCCUAUCCCAUCUGCACAAAAAUGUUUCCCGUUGACUUCACUGAAGUACAUGCUGCAAUUUAGACUGGUUCACAGUACAAGACCCUUCCAAGGCCGUGUCUCUGUUUCGGGAUUCUAUUCUUAGCCAUCAUGAAAGUAAGAAUCCCUAACUUCUCAGC